GAGUUUGAUCAUGGCUCAGGAUGAACGCUGGCGGCGUGCUUAACACAUGCAAGUCGAACGAAGCGUCCGGGAUUGAGACUUCGGUCAAUUGAACGGAUGACUUAGUGGCGGACGGGUGAGUAACGCGUGGGUAACCUGCCGUAUGCAGGGGGACAACAGCUGGAAACGGCUGCUAAUACCGCAUAAGCGCACGGUAUCGCAUGAUACAGUGUGAAAAGCCAAGACGGCAUACGAUGGACCCGCGUCUGAUUAGGUAGUUGGUGAGGUAACGGCCCACCAAGCCGACGAUCAGUAGCCGACCUGAGAGGGUGACCGGCCACAUUGGGACUGAGACACGGCCCAAACUCCUACGGGAGGCAGCAGUGGGGAAUAUUGCACAAUGGGGGAAACCCUGAUGCAGCGACGCCGCGUGAGCGAAGAAGUAUUUCGGUAUG
rnacentral:rRNA from 1 species